CUAUACUAAUUCCACCAAUUAACCAAAACCCUUAACCAAUACUGAAUGACUCCAUAAACAUAUGGAAUACUAUAUGCUAGAACUAGUAAUAAGAAGAAGACCUUCUCCAAAAUAUAAGUGUGAGCCGAAAUGAACAAUUCACCGGCAUUUAACGCAACUGAACUAAUAGUAGUAACAAAAACAAGAAAACCCUACUACAUGCUGCGUCAACCUUACACUAGAAUAUUCCAGGAAAGAUUAAAAGAAAAGGAAGGAACUCGGCAAACCUAAUAACCCCGCCUGUUUACCAAAAACAUCGCCUCUUGCAAAAUAUAAGAGGUCCAGCCUGCCCAGUGACAAAGUUAAACGGCCGCGGUACCCUAACCGUGCGAAGGUAGCGCAAUCACUUGUUCUUUAAAUGAGGACUAGUAUGAAUGGCAUCACGAGGGUUACACUGUCUCCCUUUUCCAAUCAAUGAAACUGACCUCCCCGUGAAGAGGCGGGGAUAAAACUAUAAGACGAGAAGRCCCCAUGGAGCUUUAAACUCAGUAUCAACUAUCUAACUAUACACCAUCAAAACUUGAUAGCUCUGACCACUAGUUUUCGGUUGGGGUGACCGCGGAGCAAAACAAAACCUCCACGAUGAACGGACCAAUGUUCCUAAUCAUAGAGCCACAGCUCAAAGAAUCAAAAAAUUGACAUAAAUUGAUCCAAUUAAUUUUGAUCAACGAACCAAGUUACCCUGGGGAUAACAGCGCAAUCC
rnacentral:rRNA from 1 species